UAUUAGGCAUGCUUGGGACUACAAAUGUGUUGGACUACAGAUCCCAUGAGUCCAAGUACUAUAAAGGGGGAAAUCAAAUCUUCUGGCCUUUCUCUUUGUGGGACCAUGUGCUGAGUAGCAGAAGCUGUGUGUAUGCUUAAAGGAUAUAUACUGGUGGAUGCCUCAGAAAUUGAGUAGAUUCAUUCAUUAACACAGAUGAUGCAUGAUUGCCGUUUACUUUUAUCUAAAAUAUUAGUGGGUUAAUGUUGGGUUGUAAGAUAUGACUUUUAAAAGUUACAGUAUGAUGAAGUGAUUUGAAUUUAUUGUGGGACUUUUUUGUUUUGUUUAUUUGUUUUUGUUUUUGUUUUAGUUUUUUGUUUUUUCAACUGCUUGCACACAAAAUUAUUACUUGUCACACAAUUUCUAAAACCUGACACUCAAACACCAG